UCUCCCCCGGCAACAGGAAGGAAACCGACGUGCAUCUCCUGCCAGACGUAUGAGUGCCUCUCUUUAAAAUUCCUCCAAUGCGUGCUCUCCCCAGGGAGCAUGCCCUGCGUCGGGCGCACCAGACGCGCUGCCCCUGGCUCAGUUGCCCUGUUCACUGAGCAUUCAGGCUUAAGGUUAUACCUGGGAAACUUCAGAAGAGAUUACGACGCAGCGGGGAAGAGGAGGCCACUCAGAACUGUGCCGACAAAGCCAGCAGCUCCGAGAGGAAGGCGGAGGAGUCUGGAAGGCUGGGGAGGAAGGUGCCAGCAGGUGGGAGAUGCCACUUUCCCUUCGAAGCCCUGCAUGACGCGCUCUUCGCCCCUCAUGGGGCUCUUCUCCAGAGCUGCCAAGAAUUCUGGGCACCCAGGCAAACAGUUGACUAAUUAAAACAA